rnacentral:rRNA from 1 species
CCUACGGGGGGCAGCAGUGAGGAAUAUUGGUCAAUGGACGAGAGUCUGAACCAGCCAAGUAGCGUGAAGGAUGACUGCCCUAUGGGUUGUAAACUUCUUUUAUAAAGGAAUAAAACGAGGCACGUGUGCCUGUUUGCAUGUACUUUAUGAAUAAGGAUCGGCUAACUGCGUGCCAGCAGCCGCGGUAAUACGGAGGAUCCGAGCGUUAUCCGGAUUUAUUGGGUUUAAAGGGAGCGUAGAUGGGUUGUUAAGUCAGUUGUGAAAGUUUGCGGCUCAACCGUAAAAUUGCAAUUGAUACUGGCAGUCUUGAGUACAGUUGAGGUAGGCGGAAUUCGUGGUGUAGCGGUGAAAUGCUUAGAUAUCACGAAGAACCCCGAUUGCGAAGGCAGCUUACUAAACUGUGACUGACAUUGAUGCUCGAAAGUGUGGGUAUCAAACAGGAUUAGAUACCCUUGUAGUC